AUCCCACCGAGGCCACCAUAGACCAGCCAGCCCUCAGCGUACAUGCCAGCUAAUUACAGAUGCAGGAGCAAACCCCUGGCCCAUACAUCAAAACAUACAGUAAACAGAGAAAAAAAAGGAUCUCAGGUGAGAUGAUGUAUGGGAAUGCUCAGCAUACAGAAUGAAUGGAUAAGAGGCCUGAAAACAUAAUCCUGUAAACAACCAUAUUGAAAGAGAAGACAGAAGACAUCAAACAGAUGGAGUUUCGCUCUUGUUGCCCAGGCUGGAGUGCAACGGCACGAUCUCAGCUCACCGCAACCUCAGCCUCCCAAGUUCAAGCAAUUCUCCUGCCUCAGCGUCCUGAGUAGCUGGAAUUACAGGAUUUUGGAAGCAUUGCCUUCUACAGAAUCCACAGUAGUCCGAAGCUCUUCUACGGUUUUUGUCAAACUUUGAUUUUCCAUCUCUAGCUUCAAUAAUCUACUUGAUGUCAACUCAUUCACCUCAUGGCCCAGGGAUUUCUGGGGUGCUAUAAUAUUGAAAAAUACACCAUUGUAUUUACUCUUUACUGUUUUUACUAUGUUUACUCUUUACUAUUUAAAAAGUUGAGUGUAUAUGCAUUGCAUCAUCUGAUCCUUAACUUU
rnacentral:lncRNA from 1 species